rnacentral:ncRNA from 1 species
AAUUUUCUAUUAAAUCUGAUAGAAAAAUUAUUAAAUUAAAAAUAAUUAUGGAAGAUAAAUCUUACUUAUCCAGUUAGCAAAAUUAAAAACUAAAGAAAUUUAAGUUUAGUUUAUAUUUUUACUUUGGUAAAAUAGGUGCCAGCAACCGCGGUCAUACCUAUAAAAAAUAAUUUUACCUAGGGCUUACUAAAAAGACAUUUGCUAAAUAGAUAAGUGAAAUUUUUAGUAGUAACACAAUUUAACCCUUUUAAACAAUUAAAAUUUUAAGUAACACUUGAUAAUAAACCAGGAUUAGAUACCCUGUUAUACAAGAAGUAUAAGACAGCCCUGAGUAGUAAGUAAAUAAAGAUUAUGAAACUCAAAGAUUAUGGCGGCCUUUAAAAAUCUUCAGAGGAACUUACCAAGUAAUUGAUAAUCACCAAGCUAUCUCGCAUAAUUUUUAAAUAGUUUGUAUGCCGUCGUUAUAAAAAUUUUUUUAAAAAAAAUUUAAAAGAAUAAUCUUUUAAUAUAUCAGAUCAAGGUGCAGCUAAUAAUUAUGAUUUAUAGGCGAGUUACAAAAAAGAUUUUUGUUAGUAAGAAAGUUUAUAUACUUUUUUUAAAUAGGAUUUGAUUGUAAAAGUUUAAAUUAAAAAUAACUUUUGAACAUUUUAUUUAAAGGUGCACAAAUCGCCCGUCAUUCUCGUUGGAAAAUGAGACAAGUCGUAACAAAGUAGAAGUAGCGGAAGCUGUUUCUAAUAAUGAACAAUUAUU